AUGCGGUAUGACGGUACCCUUUCGAAUAAGAGGUUGCUAACUCUGUGCCAGCAGCAGCGGUAAUACAGAGACCUCGAGCGUUAUCCGGAUUUACUGGGCGUAAAGCGUCUGUAGGGGGUUUGUUAAGUUCCAAGUAAAAUCUUAAGGCUCAACUUUAAGUUCGCUUGGAAAACUAAUAAACUGGAGUCCAGCAGAGGUGCAUGGAACUUGCGGUGUAGGAGUGAAAUCCGUUGAUAUCGCAAGGAACACCAAAGGCGAAGGCAUUGCACUGGGCUGGUACUGACCCUGAGAGACGAAAGCGUGGGGAGCAAAACGGAUUAGAUACCCGUGUAGUCCACGCCGUAAACGAUGGAUACUAGAUGUUCGGGGAUUCGACCCCCUGGGUGUCACAGCUAACGCGUUAAGUAUCCCGCCUGGGAAGUACGGCCGCAAGGCUAAAACUCAAAGGAAUAGACGGGGAUCCGCACAAGCGGUGGAGCGUCUGGUUUAAUUUGAUAGUAAGCAAUGGACCUCACCAAGGUUUGACAUCCUAUGACAACCCUGGAAACAGGGCUUCCUUCGGGCAUAGUGACAGGUGCUGCAUGGUCGUCGUCAGUUCGUGCCGUGAGGUGUUCCGUUAAGUCGGGAAACGAACGAAACCCUCGUCGCAUGUUACAAAUUUCAUGCGAGACUGCCCGGGUCAACCGGGAGGAAGGCGGGGAUGACGUCAGAUCAGCAUGGCCCUUAUACCUUGGGCUACACAGGCGCUACAAUGGCCGGUACAAAGGGUUGCAAAACCGCGAGGUGAAGCUAAUCCCAUAAAGCCGGUCCAAGUUCGGAUUGGAGGCUGCAACUCGCCUCCAUGAAGUUGGAAUCGCUAGUAAUCGUGGAUCAGCCAUACCACGGUGAAUACGUUCCCGGAUCUUGUACUCGCCGCCCGUCACACCAAGAGAGUUGGUAGCUCAUGAAGC
rnacentral:rRNA from 1 species